UGGCUCAGAGCGAACGCUGGCGGCAGGCCUAACACAUGCAAGUCGAACGGCCCUUCGGGGUAGUGGCGGACGGGUGAGUAACGCGUGGGAAUGUGCCCUUUGGUACGGAACAACUGAGGGAAACUUCAGCUAAUACCGUAUGUGCCCUUCGGGGGAAAGAUUUAUCGCCAAAGGAGCAGCCCGCGUCUGAUUAGCUAGUUGGUGGGGUAAAGGCCUACCAAGACGACGAUCAGUAGCUGGUCUGAGAGGAUGAUCAGCCACACUGGGACUGAGACACGGCCCAGACUCCUACGGGAGGCAGCAGUGGGGAAUAUUGGACAAUGGGCGCAAGCCUGAUCCAGCCAUGCCGCGUGAGUGAUGAAGGCCUUCGGGUUGUAAAGCUCUUUCGCACGCGACGAUGAUGACGGUAGCGUGAGAAGAAGCCCCGGCUAACUUCGUG
rnacentral:rRNA from 1 species